GAGCUCCUGACCGCUUACCUGCAAGCAGGUUAGUGAGCAGGUAGGAUGUGAAGAGCUAGGGUGGUUCCGGAGCGACAUAACGUUUCAGGGAAUAAGGAAAGCAAGACGGGGAGACUCCAGAACCCGGAAGACUGUCGGCACUGAAAUGUGGGUUCGAGCGGCAGUGCCCUGUGGGUCCGAACGCGGUGAGGUCUGAAAAGGAAUGUGUUUCCAGAGGGACCUCGUCGGUGUGGAACCAAGAGGAAGAAGAGUUAGCAAGAGUCUGGCACCCUCCUGGCACUGCCCAGACAGAGCAACGCUGGAUGUGUGGGGCAAGCAUUCCUGACACUCGAAGAUCUCCCUUAAGACUCUGUUUCUGUUCCUUGUAUACCCUCUUCACCAAGAACUUUCUGAUUAGCAAUCUAGCUUCCCGGGAACACUAACAGAGCAAGACGUGUCUGUCACAGGGACAUGAGCAUUCCAGUGACCCUUAACCAUAAACACGUGACCCAGCCUCAGGCUUCAGCCUCAGUCCUUGUGAGUCUGAGCUGUAAUCUCAGUCUUAUUAAAAUAUUUUUUAUGUUUUUAAUUUAUUCUUGAGAGACAGAGACAGUGCAAGCAGGGGAGGGGCAGAGAAAGAGGGAGACACAGAAUCAAAAGCAGGCUCCAGGGUUCGAGCCCUGUAUCAGCACAGAGCCUGAUACGGGGCUCGAACCCACAAACCGUGAGAUUAUGACUUGAGCCAAAGUUGGAUGCUUAACUGACUGAGCCCCCCAGGUGCCCCAUGUAAUCCUAGCCUAGCGUACUCUGACGAUAUAAAUGGAGAACCAGACCUCCCAAUAUGCUGGCCCGAGCCCCUGAGACCAGGCCAAAUGGCCAGUGGUUGUCCUCUGCUGUCACUGUCGUGGUUCUAUGGCAGUAAGUCGCACCAUCCUUGGUAAUCCAGUGGACACGCUUGCAGCAUUGUACAGCAGAAGGGAAUGUCUCUGCGAGCAAAGUAUUUGUGUUGCAUGCAGGCGCUCAAAAGCGAGUAUAGGAGGAUGAGGGAAUGAGGAAUAGAAGAGAGUUCGAGAACGGGCACGGGAGGCACAACAUGAGCGAUGCCCAUGUUGUCGCUUACUUAUCACAUGCAGUUUUCUUCAUAGCACAGACGGCACAGCUGUGAAGAGUUUCUCCUAGACAAUACUGUUCUCACUGCUCUUGUUGUACCAUAUUUCCUGGGAACGUUACACCCUCUUAUUAUUAUUAUGAGUGCCAAAGCGUGAAGGACAGUUGUACGAUAACAUUUUAACUCAAGUGACUUAACCUCUGAGGAACUGGGUCAGCCUCGAGGGCUGUGAGGGCAUGACAGCUUCGCUCGGUCACAGUCCCCUCCCUGGCUCCUGGCUGCUGUUUCCCACAUAUUUGAUUCUUGGUGGUAGUGGCUUUGGUCCAUGAAAAAGUUAACAAACCCUUCAGGACCGCAAAUCAGAAUAGUCUCCCCCACCUCAAGCCAGACUCAGGGAGCCUUUCCUCUCCUGAGGGUGCGCCCAGAACGGUCCAGCAUCCUCUCAGGCCAAGCAGAAUCUGGUCGG
rnacentral:lncRNA from 1 species